GAAAUUAAAAUAGAAAUGUUGAAGUUAAAAUUCAAUGGAUUAUGUCUCAUAAAUUGCUGAUGAGAGUGUAAAUUGGUACAACUCCUUUGAAGAGCAUUUUGCUGUUGUCCUUUAAAGUUAAAGAUAGGCAUAGUCUAUGACCCAGCAAUUCCACUCCUGGGUAUAUACCACAGAGCUGCACUUUCAAAUAUGGCAACUACUAGACACUUGGGACUGCAAGCAUACUCUGUUUUAUUGUGCUUUGCUUUAUUGUGCUUCACAGAUAAUGCAUUUUCUACUAAUUAUUACCCUCCACCAGCAAAAGAUUACAACUUGCUGAAGGCUCAGAUGAUGGUUAGCAUGUUUUAGCAAUGAAAUAUUUUUAAAUUAAGUGGUCUGGAACUUAAGCUGAAGUAUCUCCAAGGUCCAGCUUCCAGCAAAAAAGAAUUUACAAGUCAUGCCAAAAGGCAGAAAAAAUACAGAGACAGAAAAAGCCUCACAAUUGGACUCAGAUUGACACAGGAAUUGGAAUAAGUAAACUGAGAAUUUAACUAUCAUCAAUAUGUUAAGGGCUCUUGUGGAAAGUAUAAGACAACAUGCAUGAACAGAUGAGUAAUGUAAGCAGAGAUAUGGAAACUCUAAGAAAGAAUCAAAAGGAAAUGCUGGAAAUCAAAAGCACUGUGACAGAAAUGAAGAACACCUUUGACAGGAUCAUCAGUACACUUGACAUGGCAGAAGAAAGAACCAGUAAGUUCGAAGACCAGCCAAUGGAAACUUCCCAAAAUUAAAUGCAAAGUGAAAAAAAGAAAAACAUGCAAGGACUGUGGGACGAUUAAGGGUGUACUAUACAUGUAACUGGAAUACUAAAAAGAGAAGGAGGAAAGAAUGGAGCAGAAGAAAGACUUGACGUACUAACGGCCCAAGAACUUCCCUGAACUAAUGACAGACGGCAAACCAAAGAUCCAGAAGUCUCAGCAGGAUAAAUAUAUAAAAAAAAAUCUACACCUGGGCACACCAUAAUGAAACUGCAAAAAACUAAAGACAAACAAAACUUGAAAGAAGCCAGAAUUUGGAAAAAACUUACCUGUAGGGGAAAAAAGAUAGGAAUUAUAGCAGAUUCUUGUCAGAAACCACGUAAGCAAGAGGAGAGUGGAGUGAAAUAUUUAAAAUAUUGAAAGAAAAAACCCAUCAACCUAGAAUUCUAUAUCCAGCAAAAUUAUCCUUCACAAGUAAAGGAUAAAGACUUUCUCAGAAAAGCAAAACCUGAGAGAAUUCAUUACAAGCAAGAAAUGUUAAACUGUUCAGUCCUGAAAGAAAUGCUAAUAGAAGUUCUUCAGGGAGAAGGAAAAUGAUAUAGGUCAGAAGCUUAGAGCUACACAAAGGAAGGAAGAAUGUCAGAGAAGGAAUGAAUGAAGUGAAGCAUUGAUUACAGGAUCCCUAAUCACGUGCUGAGGAAGCUAGAACCUCACAGCCCGAGGUCCCUUGAAACUUCUGCCUCGUGGGGGCUGCACACACACGCAAAAGCACUGAACACACGAAACAACUGCUGAACAAGUGAACGUAAUUAUACUGUAAAUCUUGUCUUACUUAGAUGGUUCAUUUUAAGGAGUAUAUUGCUGGCAUACAAGCUAGAAGUGGAAUUGUCUGCUGCUAAGGGUCACAAGCAAACUCAAGCCCUCCAGCCUUUAGUGUGACACACUUGUAAUAGAAAAUUAUAGAAAGAAUGUCUUGAUUUUCUUGAUAGUUGCUAUAUUUUCAUUAUAACUAUAUCUAGAUAUGAGGUAAAUAUGAUAUGUAAUAUAGAUGCAUACUGAUAGAUGUUAUGUGUCAAAUCCAUACAUAACUAUAAUAAAAGUAUCAAUAGUCAUCUCAAUAACGCAUAACUUGUCUACAUUGUUUGAAAUUGCAACCCCACUACCAG
ensembl:lncRNA